rnacentral:rRNA from 1 species
GAUGAACGCUGGCGCCGUGCCUAAUAAAGGCAGGUCGACCGAACAGACGAGAGCCUGGCUCCUCUUAGGUUAGCGGCGGACGGGUGAGUACCCCGUGAAUACCCUCCCUAUAGGACGGGAGUAACUUCGGGAAACCGGGGCAAAUACCGGAUAUUAAAUUAAACCGACGGGUUCAAAGGUGAAAGCCGUUUUUGCUGCCCCUUAUAGAUGGACCCCCGCCCCCUUAGCUAGUUGGUACGGUAACGGCUUCCCAAGGCAACGAUGCGUAGCCGACCUGAGAGGGUGAUCGGCCACACCGGAACUGAGACACGGUCCAGACUCCUACGGGGGCAGCAGUAGGGAAUCUUCCGCAAUGGGCGAAAGCUUGACGGAGCAACGCCGCGUGAGUGAUGAAGGUCUUCGGAUCGUAAAACUCUGUUAUUAGGGAAGAACAAAUGUGUAAGUAACUAUGCACGUCUUGACGGUACCUAAUCAGAAAGCCACGGCUAACUACGUG